GUCUGGGAAACUGCCUGAUGGAGGGGGAUAACUACUGGAAACGGUAGCUAAUACCGCAUAACGUCGCAAGACCAAAGAGGGGGACCUUCGGGCCUCUUGCCAUCGGAUGUGCCCAGAUGGGAUUAGCUAGUAGGUGGGGUAACGGCUCACCUAGGCGACGAUCCCUAGCUGGUCUGAGAGGAUGACCAGCCACACUGGAACUGAGACACGGUCCAGACUCCUACGGGAGGCAGCAGUGGGGAAUAUUGCACAAUGGGCGCAAGCCUGAUGCAGCCAUGCCGCGUGUAUGAAGAAGGCCUUCGGGUUGUAAAGUACUUUCAGCGGGGAGGAAGGCGACAGGGUUAAUAACCCUGUCGAUUGACGUUACCCGCAGAAGAAGCACCGGCUAACUCCGUGCCAGCAGCCGCGGUAAUACGGAGGGUGCAAGCGUUAAUCGGAAUUACUGGGCGUAAAGCGCACGCAGGCGGUCUGUCAAGUCGGAUGUGAAAUCCCCGGGCUCA
rnacentral:rRNA from 1 species